rnacentral:rRNA from 1 species
UACGAAGGGUGCAAGCGUUGCUCGGAAUUAUUGGGCGUAAAGGGUUGGUAGGUGGUCUUGUUUGUCUAAGGUGAAAUCCCAUGGCUUAACUGUGGAAGUGCCUUAGAAACGGCAAGACUAGAGUCCUAGAGGGGUUUGUGGAAUUCCCGGUGUAGCGGUGAAAUGCGCAGAUAUCAGGAGGAACACCGAUGGCGAAGGCAGGUCUCUGGGCCGAUACUGACGCUGAGGAGCGAAAGCGUGGGGAGCGAACAGG